AAAAUGGCAUUUCUAAAUGCCAUAUAUAAUUUCAGCAAUUGAAAAU
rfam:Apaloderma vittatum contig27360, whole genome shotgun sequence.